UUAAUCAAGGGCACACGGUGGAUGCCUUGGGAUCUAGAGGCGAUGAAGGACGUGGUAAGCUGCGAUAAGCUUCGGGGAGCUGCAACGAGCGUUAAUCCGAAGAUUUCCGAAUGGGGCAACCCGGCAGAUGGAAGAUCUGUCACCGAAAGGAGCUAACCCAGUGAACUGAAACAUCUAAGUAGCUGGAGGAAAAAAAAAAAAAAA
rnacentral:rRNA from 1 species